rnacentral:rRNA from 1 species
UGGGGAAUUUUGGACAAUGGGGGCAACCCUGAUCCAGCCAUUCCGCGUGAGUGAAGAAGGCCUUCGGGUUGUAAAGCUCUUUCGGCAGGAACGAAACGGCGGGCUCUAACAUAGCCUGUUAAUGACGGUACCUGCAGAAGAAGCACCGGCUAACUACGUGCCAGCAGCCGCGGUAAUACGUAGGGUGCGAGCGUUAAUCGGAAUUACUGGGCGUAAAGCGUGCGCAGGCGGAUUGUUAAGCAAGACGUGAAAUCCCCGGGCUUAACCUGGGAAUGGCGUUUUGAACUGGCAGUCUAGAGUGCGUCAGAGGGGGGUGGAAUUCCACGUGUAGCAGUGAAAUGCGUAGAGAUGUGGAGGAACACCGAUGGCGAAGGCAGCCCCCUGGGAUGACACUGACGCUCAUGUACGAAAGCGUGGGUAGCAAACA